rnacentral:rRNA from 1 species
CCUACGGGAGGCUGCAGUGAGGAAUAUUGGUCAAUGGCCGGAAGGCUGAACCAGCCAAGCCGCGUGGGUGAAGAAGCGCCUCGGCGCGUAAAGCCCUGUCAGCAGGGAAGAAAAUGACGGUACCUGAAGAAGAAGCCCCGGCUAACUACGUGCCAGCAGCCGCGGUAAUACGUAGGGGGCAAGCGUUAUCCGGAUUUACUGGGUGUAAAGGGGGCGCAGACGGCGAUGCAAGCCAGGAGUGAAAGCCCGGGGCCCAACCCCGGGACUGCUCUUGGAACUGCGUGGCUGGAGUGCAGGAGGGGCAGGCGGAAUUCCUGGUGUAGCGGUGAAAUGCGUAGAUAUCAGGAGGAACACCGGUGGCGAAGGCGGCCUGCUGGACUGCAACUGACGUUGAGGCCCGAAAGCGUGGGGAGCAAACAGGAUUACAUACCCGAGUAGUC